GCCCCCAUUUCCGAUUUGAACCUUGCAAAGACUCUGCAGAAAAUGGCAGCUUGGUCAAAAGCCUGAUGUGAAGGGAGAGGAGUGGGCUGAAGGAACAGCCCAGUCAUAAGGAUUGUUACCUCACAGCUUGUGCCAUGGCAAUGACUCAGACCCUAUGAUUCCAACAGCCUUGUGUGGACCUGCUAUCACCCAGAGGUUCCUGUGGUAGGAGAUCACAGUCACUGUCACGACUGAUGAACAGUGUUCCCUCACUGAUGGGAUGGAUGUCAAGUGUGUUGUGCCAGGAAGGCUUUCUUUCAUCUAGCUUGCUCUAUCUGCCAAAUGUUUGGUCUGGCCCCACGCAUGGGAUUUGCAGUGCUGCUAACUAAGUUGGCGUAGGGACAGAUUUAAUUGAACUGCUGGAAUGGGUUGGUGGAGCCUCUUACUUUGGGCUGGGGGGCUCCAAUUAGAUGUCGUGCUAAACUGACACCAGAACCUUUUUAAUCCAAAGCAAGAGGAGAUGUGCGCAGAGACAAAUCAAAUUUAGCAGACUGUCUUAGAAAAUGAUUUCAUUAAAACAGAUCUCUAUGCCCCACUGGCAUGAAUCUCGGGGACCAAAUCUGUGGCAAGCUUUGGACUGGCAAACAUCUGCAAUAGACUCACCACUUGUGCUAGGCUGGGGGCUCUGCCAGGCACUGCUCUGUAGCCCCACAGCUGUUAAAGCUCCACAAAAAGCCAGUGGCUGGAGACUCUUGCAUUAAAGUUAUUUUUGGUC